CAAUCACCCAGUGAAAGCUACAAGAGAACUCAGUACAAGAUAAAUGGGAAUGACAGUUGCACCCACCUCAAGGUGUUAUGAGGCUAGAUGAGUUUCUGCAUGUCAAGCCCUCAGAGAAGUGCCUGGCAAGCAGACAGUGCUCAGCUGAGGAGGGCUUUCUUGGUUGUGCUGUCUUUCUGAGGCAACGUGGAGUCUACCAGUCACGGACAAAGGACUCUCUGAAGUCAGUCCCAGCACACCUGCACCAAAUAUCAGGAGGAAGGCAGAUGAAUACUUAAAGUCCAACAUGUCCCCCAACAAUGUGCUGAGUUUUUUACUCGGUAGACAACUGGGGAGGCACAGAAAUGAUGUGGAUCUGACAAAGUGGUUGUGGAUGCUGACACGAGCAAUGCCAGGGUGGAGCUGGCCUUUGCCAAAAAAAAUCACGUGACUUACAAGCACAUGCCUACACAGAAUCUUGGAAAAUAAUUUUUUUUAAAAAGUAUUAGAAUAAAAUUCUUCCCUAG
rnacentral:lncRNA from 10 species